UUGCCUUGUCAAACAUGAGCCUAGAAGCUCGAAACCUUUUGCAAACAACCACACAACCCAAUUUGCCAAACAUUCCCACUUUGCCAAAUCCAACAUUGCCUUCAAUUCCAACAACAUUGCCACCUUUGCCCUCAAUCCCAACAACAUUGCCACCUUUGCCUUCAAUGCCAACAUUGCCUCAACCUCAAGGUAAUGUUCCUCCAUUGCCUACUAUCCCUUCUAUGCCUAAGCUCACUAUGCCACCACUUCCUAGCAUUCCUACCAAUCCAACACUUCCAUCUCUCAACUUUCCACCAUUUCCAUCCAAUUCACUUCCCAACAUUCCUUCAAUCUCAACCAUUAUCUCCUCCAUCCCUUUCUUCUCUCCACCACCUUCAACAUCUUCCCCUUGAAGUCUUUUUCGCGUGUUCAUAUCGUUAUUGUGUGUGAUGUAUACUGUUGGAGAUUAUGAUGAUAGUAUUAUUAUUGUAUGGUGUGAAAAGUUUGUGUAUUUUUCUUUUUUAUUUAUGAAUUUGAUAUUAUUGCUUGUACUCUUUUAUCGUAAAGACAUUGAAUUAUUACACAUUUAGUUACAACUAUGAUCGAUGUCUUGAACUUUUAAAGUCUUAUAAUAGCAAACAAUAUAACACGCCCUCUCAUCUUUGCAUAUAUAUUAUGGAGACAAAAAUGAGAGUGAAUUAAACUCUAAAAGGCAACAUAAUGGAACAUUGUGUAUGGAACACAAAAAGAGCAACAAAUUGGAAAACAUCAAAAGAAAAAUUUAGAAUGAAUAACAAUCAUGUAAGAAGAUAAUGGCUAAAAUAUGUUUUUGAUCCCCGUAAAUAUGGUAAGUUUGGGUUUUGGUAAAAAAAAAAUUUGAAAUCUAUCCCUGCAAAAUUUUUUGUUUUUUAAAAUAGUCAUUUACCCAAGUUUACUAAUAAUUUGGCACAUUUAUACCUAUGUGGUAUUCGCUGACGGAGUAACUUUGCACAGUUGGCAGCCACGUGGUAAUUAUUUUAGAUUAAUUAUUUAAAAACCUUUAUUAAAAAAGAAAAAAUAUAUUUUUGAAAUUAAAAUAAAACAUUUAAAAAGUACGGAAAUUAAUUUUUCCAAAUUUUAAAAAAUAAAAAAUUAAUUUUUAAAUUAAUUUUUUUCAAAAAAAAUUAAUUUUGAUUUUCGAAAAUUAAUUUCCAUAUUUUUUAAGAAUUUUUUUAUUUCGAAAAAAAAUGAAAAAAUCUUUUUUUUUUUGGUCAAGUCUUUUUUCUCUUUCAAAUUUUUGGAUUUUUCGUUUUUUUUAAUUCUGAAAAUAAAUAAAUUCUGUCCAAUUUUGAAAGCAAAAUCUGAAUAUAAAUUUCUAUUUGUUUUAAAAUUUUAGAAAAAUGUUAUCUAACUUAUUGUUAUUUUUUUAUUUUUUUUUAUUUAAAAAAAUUAAUUUCCAGGAAAAAAUAAAAAUAAAAACCUUUUAAAGUUCGAAAAAAACUAAUUUUUUAUUUAUUUUUAAUUUGUUUUUUCUUAAUUUUUUAAAAUUAAUUUCCUAUUUUUUUAUUUUUAAUUUUGUAAAAUUAAGUUCCAUAGUUUUUAUUUAAAAAAAUAAACUGUAUUUUUUUAUUAUUUCGUUUUUUUUUUCAAAAAUUUUAUAUCGAAAAUUAAUUUCCUUUUUUUCAAUUUUGUUAUUUUUAUUUCAAAAAUAUGUUUUUUGUUUUUUAAAUAAUUAAAAUGAAAUCAGUUACAUGCGGCUGCCACCUGUGCAUAAUUAAACAGUCAGCAAGUGACACCUAUGUAAAAAUCAGACACAUAAGCAAGAAAGUGAGCCCAAGAUCCUUUUUAAAAAAACAAAAAAUUUGUAGGGAUUGAUUUAAAAAAAAAUUACCAGGGAUCAAAACCCAAAUUUAUUAAAUUUACAGGGACUAAAAGCAUAUUUUAGUCUAAGAGUAUUGAUGAUUGAAGAUUGGACUAUUGACCUAACCAAAAGCUUAUUUUCCUUGUGUUGAGUCAAUUGUCAACCAUGUAAUUGGACACAAAUGGUUCACAAAUAUAAACUAUGGUUAAAUGCUCUUUUGGUCCCUUAACUAUUUAAUUGGUAUCGCUUUGGUCCCUUAACUAAAAAAAAGAUUGUUUGAGGAUUUUAAGAUUUUUUUAGUCUCGUUUUGGUCCCUUCUGUUAGGUUUCCGUUAGGGUUUUAAAAAAAAAAGUUAACUCCUGGACACGUGUCACCUUGUCAUUGGCUCUGAGUUUUUUUCUUUUUACAAAAAAAAAGAUUAUUUUUUUUUUAAAAUUUUAUUUUUUUUUUCAAAAAAUUAAAUAUAUAUUUUAAAAAAAUUAAAACAUUUUUUAUUAAAAAAUAAUAUAUUUUUUGUUAAAAAAAAAAAAACUACAGAGUCAAUGACAAGGUGACACAUAUCCGCACUUAACUUUUUUUAUUAAAACUAACGGAAAUCUAACAGAAGGGACCAAAGCUAUACCAAUUAAAUAGUUAAGAGACCAAAAUAGCAUUUAAACCUAUAAACUAAUGUCGAAUCAGUUGUGUAGUGAAAGAUAUUCCUAAGUAAAAUAUUUUUUCUUCAAAUUAUACUUAUCUAUCGUUUGACCAAAUUCUGAAUUGUUAACAUCCUUUUUUUUGCUUCUCGAGAUCAAUGCAUCCCACAAGGUUGAAAUCAAUUAUGGUUUGCAUUCAAUUGUCUACUAUGAUUAUGGAAACUCUUUCUCUUGUUAGUCAAUGGGUUCCUAAGAGCUACAAGACUUAAUUAUUACUGUGUUGGAUCAAAUUGUUUGUCUAUGUAUCAUCGAGACUUCAAAUUGAAAGUGUGUUUAAGUGUUCGCAAUCUGUUGGCAUCCAACACGACACCAAUUAUUUGAUCUUUCUUUUUAGAAAAGCACAUUGCCGCUUAUUAUAACAUACAUUUACUUUGGAGUAUUUUCUAAAAUUAUUAUCAGGAUCUAUGUGUCAAUAUCAAUGUUGUCGACUUUUGUGUAUGUUUUAGCUUCAUGGCGUCUAUAUAUUAGUGUGUGUGAUUAUAUAUAUAUAUAUAUAUAUAUAGUAGGGGAGGGAUAUUUUGACUCCAAGAGUAACUCUAAAGAGUUACUCCACAUUACAACCCUUGAUUUUAAUAGUAAUUAAUGGUUAUGAUUAAUUACUAUUAAUCCCUAGCAUAACACUUUUAUGAUACUUCUUCCUAAAUAGUCCCGCACCUGUGAGAGAAUUAAACGGCAGAAUCCUGGAACACGUUGAAUGCCUUUAACAUCAACUGGAAGAAUUUUCUAUUCAUGGUCUCAACAAACAUGACACCAAACAAAUUACAAAGGUUUGUGUAGCAUGUAUUGACCUACAAAUCCUAAAAAUCAUAGAUCCACAUCUACAAAACUGUACAUUCCUUCACCCCAAAAAGUUGGCUAACUAAAUAAAUCAUCACAUUCGGUGUGAUUAAUUCAAUAAAUUUCUUGCUUAUUAAAUUAUAAUUAGGCUCGAUUUUUAUCAACCUAAAGCGUUUUGUUUCAUCAAUCUAAUUAUUCAAUGCAGUGUUAACAUGAUUGAUCUCACAUGUAUUUAAAGUUUGAAGAACAACCUUCAUUUUAGUGUCAGACCAUUACACAUCUUUACAAAUCAUAUUUUGCAUUCCUUGUAGGCACCAUAGUCUCAGUGACAAGGGAUGGAAAAGAAAACAUAAAUUCAAAUAACAAUAACAAUCGAUUAACAUGUAAUAGAUUUUGUUGAUUAACAAUCCAUAUAGAUUAAUUUGUUAAACAAUUAUUUGCAAUGGAAAGCGUAACAUGUGGUAUCAAACUACGGAGACGGAGGCGUGUUGGUUUACGGACUAGUAGCAAAAUCUUACCUAGACAAUUAAUAAUAAAUUAUAGCCAUUAAUUCAUAUUAAAAUCAAUGGCUAAGAUGUGGAGUAACUUUUUAGAGUUACUCUUGGAGUCAAAAUAUCCCUCCUCAUAUAUAUAUAUAUAUUAUUUUUGAACUUGUUAAAAGUUUGGCAUUCCUCUCCUAUAAAUGUAUGUUUCAGCGAUUGUUUUUACUAUUUUGGUUUAAAGAUUGUGGUUUGGGUUAUGGGUACAAAUUCUUGAUAUGAUUACACUAUUAGUAAAAACCCAAGUUCCACAUAAAUUAAAGAAAAGAUCCAACUAUAAUUUAUAAAGAGAUGCAUCAUUCAUCUUAUAAGCCGAUUUUAUAAGAAUGAGAUAAACCUAAUGAUUAACACUAAAACAUAAUAUAAUAUCAAAUAUAUUGAUUCAGGUUACCCACCAUUUAUAUUCAUGCACCAAACAAUAUAGUCUUGGGCAUGUUUUGAAGAAACAAGUCCCACCGUUAAAACCUAAUAUACCACUUCCUCAAAAUUGUGUUCCCUUAAACAAUUGUUAAAGCUAAAUGACUUGGCCCCCUAUUAUUUUUAAAUAUCCUUUUCACCCAGCCACUCGCCUGCAACAUUUCAGUACUAUAUCGCUCCCUCAAUCAACAAAAACCUACCUAUUCUACUCAUCGCCCUCCUUUAUGCUUUGGGUAUGACCACAUUAAAAUCUCCUCCUAAACAUCACUCUAUGAAGCACGGUUACGAUGCGAGGUAUCGGAUAUGAUGAUACGUUGCUCAUUAAAAAAUAUAAGAUACCAUACAUUUAAGAUACGUAUAUAAAAAUUAAAAUAAAGUUAUAAACGGUUAAAAAAUAUAAUAUCAACGUCAUCUCCUUCAAUGUCCAUCUGCUCAUUCACCAUCAUCGGUAAAUAGAGCAACUUCUAAAUUUGAUUCAUCAAGAGACAAGGAUGUAACUUCAAGAGUUCCAACACCAUCAAAGCUUUCCCAUGCAUCUCCACCAAUGUCCCACAUCUUAGUAUUCUCUUCUUUGUAUUCAUCACUUUUCCUACCCAAAAGCCUCAAAUUUGCAUGCACAUAGAAGGUGUUUCUGACAUUAUGUUGCUUCUGCUUCUAGAUGACUGGUUUGAAUCAAGGAAUACUCUACUACCAUUUCCUUCAAGGUGGGUACUCUAGUAGUGACUAGUGAGUUUGUUUGUAUCUUCUAUAUAGUUGUUUGUUCAGAAUCGGUAAUUGUGGCAUAUUACAUGCACAACAGUGAAUUCAAUUUGCAAAGUAAAAGAAUUAUGAGAAAAAUAAACAAAUUUUGAAAAUACUAAAAAUUAAAUGGGUGCAUCAAAAUUUACAUGCAUCAAAAUAUUAGUCUAUCCUUGGAUUCUUGGAAUCGGUUUGUUUUAGAGUCUCCUUCUAGUGAACUUUAAAGUCUUAUUUUUUAUAUUUUUGGUGAUUACAUGCCUAGGAAUCGUGUAACUUAAUUUUUUUUUUGGGCCACAAAUCCUCUCUUGUACCAAAAAAAAAACUACAUGCAUCAAUUAAAGUAGAGAAAAGGUAAUUAAAGUUAGAGAAUAAUAAUUAAGGAAGGGAUAAAGAGUCAUGAGAAAUAUCUGAGGACUAUCAGAGUUUUUUGUAAUUAAAAAAACUAUGAUACUCCUUCAAUGCAUAUUGACAGCGUAUCAGAACGUAUCAACGUCUUGGACACGAUGCAGUGACAAUCCUCACAAUACUCACUAAAAACCUUAAGUAAUCUCCAACUCUUUAGGUAUGUGUUAGUUUCCCUCUAUAGUUUUAUAUCUUUUGCGAAAGAAAUCUCACUCUUUAUAUAUACCCCUCCAUCCAAUUCAGCACAAAUUCUCAACAGCAAAAAAAAUUCACCACAUACACUCUUUUUAGCUUUGAAUAAAUCAAGAUUUCAAAUUAUAAUCAUUCCUCCACACAAUUCUUGUGAGGACAUGACCACCCAAUUUGAUUUUUUAUUUCCCCACAAAUUUAAAAUUUCAGCCUCCUUAGUUUUUAACCCUCCUAAUGACAUUACAGGGAAAACUAUAAGUCAAGCUAAAAUCCUAAAGGAUGCUUUAGAGAAAACUAGAUUGGAAUAACCUACUCUUAGAUAGUCCAACUCCUCUUAACAAUUUGUCGCCUUUUACAUACAAAACAGUAAGAGUUGGCAUCCAACAUUUGAAUAUUAUGGUUUUAUAACUUAAUUAUACAGCCAACCAUAUUAGCUGCUUGACCACAAAAAUAGUUUGAUCAAGGAAGUUGAACUAACUAAAACUUUAAGUUCCAAAAAAGAAAAAAACCAACUUAAACUUGCAAAAGCUUUUAUAGUUGUCCAAACCAUUAUAUUUGUUGGACCAAUAUCAUAUAUCUUACUCUAUAUAAGACCUAGCACUAUCCCUUUACUUCUCAUAAAAUCUCAAAUCAAACACUCUUCCAACUUUCAUCAAGUAAGAAGUCAUGGCCUCAAUGAAAACCAUCAUUACAUCUUUACUUCUUUUUGUUACCUUGUCAAACAUGAACCUAGAAGCUCGCAACCUUUUGCAAACAACUACACAACCCAAUUUGCCAAGCAUUCCCACUUUACCAAAACCAACAUUGCCUUCAAUUCCAACAACAUUGCCACCAUUGCCUUCUAUUCCAACGUUGCCUUCAGUCCCAACAACAUUGCCACCUUUGCCUUCAAUGCCAACAUUGCCUCAACCUCAAGGUAAUGUUCCUCCAUUGCCUACCAUCCCUUCAGUGCCUAAGCUCACUAUGCCACCACUUCCUAGCAUUCCAACCAAUCCAACACUUCCAUCUCUCAACUUUCCACCAUUUCCAUCCAAUUCACUUCCCAACCUUCCUUCAAUCUCAACCAUUAUCUCCUCCAUCCCUUUCUUCUCUCCACCACCUUCAACAUCUACCCCUUGAAGUCUUUUCGCGUGUUCAUAUCGUUAUUGUGUGAUGUAUACUGUUGGAGAUUAUGAUGAUAGUAUUAUUAUUGUAUGGUGUGAAAAGUUUGUAUUUCAUUUCUAUUUAUGAAUUUGGCAGUAUUGUUUGUACUUUCCUUCAUCUUAUAGAUGUUUAAUUACACAUUUAGAUACAAGUAUACAACUAUGAUGUCUACUUUCUUCUUCUGAACUCUGUCUUAUAAUUGCUAUAAAAUAUUACUAUUACUAGCCUUAUUAUCUUUACAUAUAAUGGAGAGAAAAUGAGACAGUGGAACACCGAAAGCCAACAUAACUGGAACAUUGUGUUAUGGAACAAAAAUUAGCAUCAAUAAUUGAAAACAUGGAAUCCACAUGCUUAUAGAAUCCACAAGCAUUAGUCUACUUUUCUUUUAAUUGUUUUUCUGAUUAAAUUAGUCUCUACUAUUCUUCUUUCCCCUUGUAUCAGUUUCAAACUGCCACAACUUGCUUUACUUAACAUUCUCCUUAUUGCAAAAGCUCAUGAGAUAUUACAUCUUUACAAAAAGGUACUUGCAUCUCCAAGUUCCAAAUUUUGAUCAUAUCCACAAGUUUAAAAGUGUGAUGGAGGAAGGAAGAUCCAAAAAGUACAUA
rnacentral:lncRNA from 1 species